GCUGGGUGUGGUGGUGCACUCCUGUAAACCCAGCUACUUGGGAGGCUGAGAUGGGAGGAAUGUGAAUUUGAGGCCAGUCCAGGCAAUAUAGUGAGACCCUGUCUUAA
rnacentral:sRNA from 1 species